UACGUAGGGUGCAAGCGUUGUCCGGAAUUAUUGGGCGUAAAGAGCUCGUAGGCGGUUUGUUGCGUCGGCUGUGAAAUCCCGAGGCUCAACCUCGGGUCUGCAGUCGAUACGAGCAAACUAGAGUGUUGCAGGGGAGACUGGAAUUCCUGGGGUAGCGGUGAAAUGCGCAGAUAUCAGGAGGAACACCGGUGGCGAAGGCGGGUCUCUGGGCAACAACUGAGGCUGAGGAGCGAAAGCGUGGGGAGCGAACAGG
rnacentral:rRNA from 1 species